GGAGAGUUGUCCGAGCUGGUCGAAGGAGCACGAUUGGAAAUCGUGUAACCGUUAAAAGCGGUUCGAGGGUUCGAAUCCCUUGCUCUCCGCCA
rnacentral:tRNA from 1 species